ACGGAAGGCAGCAGUGAGGAAUAUUGGUCAAUGGACGGAAGUCUGAACCAGCCAAGUCGCGUGAAGGAUGAAGGUAUUAUGUAUUGUAAACUUCUUUAGACGCAGAGAAAUAAGCUCCACGCGUGGAGUGAUGCUAGUAUGCGUAGAAUAAGGAUCGGCUAACUCCGUGCCAGCAGCCGCGGUAAUACGGAGGAUCCGAGCGUUAUCCGGAUUUAUUGGGUUUAAAGGGAGCGUAGGCGGAAGGUCAAGUCAGCUGUGAAAUGUAGUCGCUCAACGUCUGCACUGCAGUUGAAGCUGGCCUCCUUGAGUGCGUAAGAGGCGGGCGGAAUUCGUCGUGUAGCGGUGAAAUGCUUAGAUAUGACGAAGAACUCCGAUUGCGAAGGCAGCUCGCUGGGCCGCAACUGACGCUGAAGCUCGAAGGUGCGGGUAUCAAACAGGAUUAGAUACCCUGGUA
rnacentral:rRNA from 1 species